AGAGUUUGAUCCUGGCUCAGAAUGAACGUUGGCGGCGUGGAUUAGGCAUGCAAGUCGAACGAGUCUCUGGGGGGUAACUCCUAGAGGAAAGUGGCGAAAGGGGCAGUAAUGUAUGGGUAACCUACCUUGAGGUCCGGGAUAGCCAUUCUAACGGAUGGGUAAUACUGGACGGCCUGAGUUGUCGGCAUCGAUAAUUUAGUAAAGGUUACGCCUCGAGAGGGGCCCAUAUGAUAUUAGCUAGUUGGUGAGGUAAUGGCUCACCAAGGCAAAGAUGUCUAGCGGGUGUGAGAGCACGACCCGCGUCAUUGGCACUGAGACACUGGCCAAACUCCUACGGGAGGCUGCAGUCGAGGAUCUUCGGCAAUGGACGAAAGUCUGACCGAGCAACGCCGCGUGUGCGAUGAAGGCCUUCGGGUUGUAAAGCACUGUCGAGGGGAAACAAGCCGUAAGGUUGAGUGACCCCUGGAGGAAGCACGGGCUAAGUUCGUGCCAGCAGCCGCGGUAAGACGAACCGUGCAAACGUUAUUCGGAAUCACUGGGCUUAAAGGGCGCGUAGGCGGGUGAUCAAGUCAAUGGUGAAAUCCUCCAGCUUAACUGGAGAAGUGCCUUUGAUACUGAUUGUCUAGAGGGAGGUAGGGGCAUGUGGAACUUCAGGUGGAGCGGUGAAAUGCGUAGAUAUCUGAAGGAACGCCAGUGGCGAAAGCGAUGUGCUGGACCUCUUCUGACGCUGAGGCGCGAAAGCUAGGGGAUCAAACGGGAUUAGAUACCCCGGUAGUCCUAGCCCUAAACUAUGGGUACUAGAUUGUGGACUUUCAUGGGUUCACAGUCGAAGCAAAAGUGUUAAGUACCCCGCCUGGGGAGUAUGGUCGCAAGGCUGAAACUCAAAGGAAUUGACGGGGCUCACACAAGCGGUGGAGCAUGUGG
rnacentral:rRNA from 1 species